rnacentral:lncRNA from 1 species
AGGAUUAAUCUAAGCUUCUGCUGUGUAUGGACCUGUGGCUACAUUACAAAAUUCAGUUGUGAAGCUAUAAAAUCAAUUAGUCUAGACCUCAAAUCUUAUUUCCUAUGAAAAGCCUCAAACUUGUAGCUGUAUGAACAAGUGUUUUUGGAAUUUUUUUUUUUUUGCUAGAAUGGAGAGAACACACUGGAGAUCACAAAUGCAUUUAUUCUUUUUCACCAACUGUUUCAUUGGCCUUAAAAAAUACUAGGCUAAACUUAAGUGGUAAAGAUCUGAAAUAAAAAGAUGCAUCUUUAUGUCUGAACAGCAAUUUUUCAUAGGUCUCUAAUAACUUGCAUUUCCUUAUCUAUGGAUAAGGAGAUCUGAAAUUGAUCUACAUUUUCUUUAGUAAUGUUUUCUCUGUUUAUUGAGAACAGAUAUCUUCAUCUCCUUCAUGCAUUAUCCUUAGUAACAGAUGUCAGUAGGAUCCAGAGCCAUUUUGGAACUUUACCAAGGAUUAAGGAUGAGCACAGAUCACAUCAAGAGUCCUUCAUCAGGCACUGCUAUCAUGGGGCACUGGUAACAAAGAAAUAUCACUUUGGAGGCCAUGUGCAGAUCAGAUUUGGAAGUGACCAAGACUGGAGGCAGGGACACCAGAGUUUUCUGUUAAAAACUGGUCCAUGCAAGAAAAGAUGACUCCUGAAAUAAGACAGUGAUCAUUAGGAUGAAGAGGAAGAGAAGAUUUGAGGAAUACUUAGAACAGAAUUUACUGAAUUUACUGGUUGAAUUGAAUGUGAAGAGGAGAUGAAUAAAGAAGAAAACACCCUCAAAUUGCAUGUAUAUUUUUUUCUGCAUGUUAUUUGGAUGUGAGGAGCUGUCAUUAUUAUUUUAGGAACAAAUAUGAAACAAUCUCUGGAAAAUGGAAUUUGAUUUUGAUUCAACAACAGGAGAAUUCUACUGUUUUUCUCCAGCAGCUCCACGAUAAAAGGGAACCCUGAGCAGAACACAUGCACAAACUCAUGCCAUACCCUAAGGGACAAGGUUCCCCACAUCUACUUGGAAAUCUUUGGGAUGCUCAAUCACUAUGAGACAAGGAUGUCCUUUUUACCACUGAGCUUGUUCUAAGUUUCCUCUGGACCUCCUCUGUUGAUAAGCUAGUGGGGACUUGAGGAGUGAGGCUGGAAGUCCAGCCUCCCUGCCAACACCUCAGGGAUGAACCACAGUCACUCUGUUCUCCCUCCCCCAGGCACACAGAUUCUCCCUCCACUUGCUGCUGCUGGAGGGUAAGGGAGAAGUGCUGUAUACAGGGCAGGCCUGCCUUUCCUAACCCCAUCGGUGCCUCUUUCCUUGAUAUGAUGUCAGAAUCAGAUUAGCUCUUUGGAACUGAGAGAUGAGAUGAGGCCUGGAAAACUUCCCCCAGUACAGUCAAGUUCCUGUUGACUAAUUCUGUGACCACCAGUGACAGUCUUUGAGUCCGUGAGGCAGAGUUGCGGCAGCACAGGCUUUGCUUGGAGUUGGAUGGUUCGCACCCUGCUUGGCAUGGUUUCUAAGAGACAUCCUCUGAGUGGAUGAGGGGAGAAUCCAGCAGGCCUCUAGUCACACUGGUACGAAUAAUUUUGAUGGUGGGAGAUGGUGGUGUGAGUGGAGGGUCUGUGGGUGUGAUGAACACCUGAAUGACUCAUGGGGAGAGGGAUGUUAACAGGACAGAUGCCACUUGCUGUAAUUUUCAUAUGAUGUGUUUGGAAAGCCCCCUGCAUGGAGGAAAGAUAGAUCGAGGUCCCUUUCAAAAGUGCUCCAGAUGAAGAGGCAUUUCCACUUUCAGAAACCCUGAGAAUCCCCGAAAGAACCUCUAACUAGUGGACAGUUGCUCUGAUUCAUUUCUGGACUUCAGUGGAAGAAGCAGCCCUUAUUUAGGAUAUUGUUAGUCUUUGGCAGAGGGAAUACAAAGCAAUGGAAGGGUGAUGUGAUGGCUCCGAAAGCUUCUGUUGGAUGUAGAAUAUAAAGUUUGCUCACCUUUUUUAAUCCAAGGAGAAAAACAAGGAGAGAAAAAUCUAAACCCAGCAGAAGAGAAAGUUUAAGAAAGCGGUCGUCGCCAAUACCAAAAUUAGCUAUGAUAUUCAGGAAGAAAAAAAUGGAAACACGAUAACCACAGUCAAUAAAGACCAAGGCCACAUUCCAUUGACCAGAGCUCAGCCACGCGCCACACCUGGCUAAAGAGACUCUGGCUGAAGAAUUCCCUGAAUAUUUUAAUGUAGCUCUAGGUUAUAACACAGAACAACCACAAGGUGGCAGAAGAACUCCAUUCUUGUAAAUCUCUUAGUUGCUUCUUUAUUUCAUCUUCCCUAUUCCAUCUAAUGUUCCCUGAAUUUUACUAUUUUGUUGGUUUGAAAAUAUGUGUGACUUACGUCCUUUAAAGGAUUUGGUUCGUAAGGUUUUGAAUAGACUGGAAUAUAAAACAUUUAUAGAAAAGAAAAAUACCUACAGUAUGAUGUUAGUGAACUAUUAAUAAUCCAAUUAAAUAAAAUAUAUUUGCUUUGGAUUAAUAC